rnacentral:rRNA from 1 species
GACGAACGCUGGCGGCGCGCUUAACACAUGCAAGUCGAGCGAAGCGGCGGACGGGUGAGUAACACGUGAGUAACCUGCCUUAGACAUUGGGAUAGCCUCGGGAAACCGGGAUUAAUAACAAAUGGUCUAAGAUGGACUCGCGUCCCAUUAGCUAGUUGGUGGGUAACGGCCCACCAAGGCGACGAUGGGUAGCCGGCCUGGGAGAGUGAACGGCCACAUUGGAACUGGGAGACGGUCCAAAGUCUACGGGAGGGAGGAGUGGGGAAUAUUGCACAAUGGAGGGAGCUCUGAUGCAGCGACGCCGCGUGAACGAAGAAGGCUUUCGAGUCGUAAAGUUCUUUUAUAUGGGAAGCGGUACCAAACGAAAAAGCCCCGGCUAACUACGUGCCAGCAGCCGCGGUAAUUC